rnacentral:rRNA from 1 species
AGCGAACGCUGGCGGCAGGCCUAACACAUGCAAGUCGAACGAAGUCUUCGGACUUAGUGGCGGACGGGUGAGUAACACGUGGGAACGUGCCUUUAGGUUCGGAAUAACUCAGGGAAACUUGUGCUAAUACCGAAUGUGCCCUUCGGGGGAAAGAUUUAUCGCCUUUAGAGCGGCCCGCGUCUGAUUAGCUAGUUGGUGAGGUAAAGGCUCACCAAGGCGACGAUCAGUAGCUGGUCUGAGAGGAUGAUCAGCCACAUUGGGACUGAGACACGGCCCAAACUCCUACGGGAGGCAGCAGUGGGGAAUCUUGCGCAAUGGGCGAAAGCCUGACGCAGCCAUGCCGCGUGAAUGAUGAAGGUCUUAGGAUUGUAAAAUUCUUUCACCGGGGACGAUAAUGACAGUACCGGGAGAAUAAGCCCCGGCUAACUUCGUGCCAGCCGCCGCUGUAAUAC